GAGCUCUGGCUGAGGAUUCUAAUUUGCGAUAUUUACUGGUAAUCAGUAGGACGACGGUUCGAUCCCGUCAGGGUAUC
rnacentral:tRNA from 1 species